AACUAUAAUAUGAUUAUGAGGUAUCUACAAUAAACACAUAAUAAGAUCCAUGGUCAUCUACUCUCAAUGUGCGAUAGGUAGCGGAAUUGGCAAUAAUAGUCCAAGAGAUGCUAUGUUGCAUACUUUAUUAUAUUGACAUGAUUUACAAGAGUGCUGUCGUAUUAUCACAAAUAUAUCUAAAAUAAAUCUCAACUAAGUUCUAAUUUAAUCCUCAUUGAAAUCCUAAUGGACUUUAAUCAAAUCCUAGACAAAUCCUAAAUCCUAAAUUAAAUCCUAUAAAAAUUUUAAAUCCUAAACCAAAUCCUAGAAAAAUCCUAUAUCUUAAAUCAAAUCUUAGACAAAUCCUACAUCCUAGACCAAACUCUAGACAAGCCCUAAACCUUAAAUCAAAUCCUAGACAAAUCCUAAAUCCUAAACCAAAUCCUAGACAAAUCUUAAAUCCUAGACCAAAUCCUAGAUAAAUCUUAAAUCUUAGACCAAAUCCUAGACAAAUCUUAAAUCUUAAACCAAAUCUUAGACAAAUCUUAAAUCUUAGACUAAAUCGUGGACAAAUCCUAAAUCCUAAAUC
rnacentral:lncRNA from 1 species